GUGGAGUCGUUGUUGAAAUACCACUCUGAUCGGAUUGGAUACCUUAACCUUGGCCCAUGAUCUGGGUUGGGGACAGUGCCUGGUGGGUAGUUUAACUGGGGCGGUUGCCUCCCAAAAUGUAACGGAGGCGCCCAAAGGUUCCCUCAGCCUGGUUGGCAAUCAGGUAGCGAGUGUAAGUGCACAAGGGAGCUUGACUGUGAGACAGACAUGUCGAACAGGGACGAAAGUCGGGACUAGUGAUCCGGCACCUACUUGUGGAUGUGGUGUCGCUCAACGGAUAAAAGGUACCCCGGGGAUAACAGGCUGAUCUUCCCCAAGAGUCCAUAUCGACGGGAUGGUUUGGCACCUCGAUGUCGGCUCGUCGCAUCCUGGGGCUGGAGUAGGUCCCAAGGG
rnacentral:rRNA from 1 species